AGCAAUCAGCCAGACUCCAUGGGGUAGGACCCUCCGAGCCAGGUGCGGGAUAUAAUCUCGUGGUCCGCCAUUUUUUAAGCCCGGCGGAAAAGCGCAGUAUUCGCGUGGGAGUGACCCGAUUUUCCAGGUGCCGUCCGUCACCCCUUUCUUUGAUUAGGAAAGGGAACUCCCUGACCCCUUGCGCUUCCCGAGUGAGGCAAUGCCUCGCCCUGCUUCGGCUCGCACACGGUGCGCGCACCCACUGACCUGCGCCCACUGUCUGGCACUCCCUAGUGAGAUGAACCCGGUACCUCAGAUGGAAAUGCAGAAAUCACCCGUCUUCUGCGUCGCUCAGGCUGGUUGCUGUAGACCGGAGCUGUUCCUAUUCGGCCAUCUUGCCUCCUCCCCCCGAAUUUUCUUAAUUGACCCUGGGCCAGGGAAAGAAAUGAAUGAAGAUGCCACCUUAUGCCCAGAACACUUCUCUCAUUCAAUGAUAAAGGAUUUGUGGUUGGGUCAACUUUUGUUAUGCUCAACUCUUUCCUUCGUAAGGAUGGGCUCUUUCUCA
rnacentral:lncRNA from 1 species